rnacentral:lncRNA from 1 species
UAUGAGUUAAGGGUUAGGUUGCUUCUAGCUUCUCCGUAAUAGCAACAAGUAAUAAGUUGCCCUAGAAGAUCGAGCAGAAAGAGAUCAUAAGUUCGGUUUUUCGUGUUGUGAGUAAGCUGGUAAUUAAGUAAGCAAUGCAGUGAGGUUAGAGAGCCAAACAACUAACGCAUUAUCAGUACAAAGCGAAUUUAUUUGCGCUAACUUUAGGGGUGCCGAUAUGACUU